rnacentral:rRNA from 1 species
UACGGAGGGGACUAGCGUUGUUCGGAAUUACUGGGCGUAAAGCGCACGUAGGCGGAUCUGUAAGUCAGGGGUGAAAUCCCGGGGCUCAACCUCGGAACUGCCUUUGAUACUGCAAAUCUCGAGUCCGGAAGAGGUGAGUGGAAUUCCUAGUGUAGAGGUGAAAAUUCGUAGAUAUUAGGAAGAACACCAGUGGCGAAAGGCGGCUCACUGGUCCGGUACUGACGCUGAGGAGCGAAAAGCGUGGGGAGCGAACAGG